rnacentral:ncRNA from 1 species
ACAAAUUCGAUGAAAAAAAGAGUAGUUACAAAGGUCAGCAAUAGCGAGCCGGGGUGGUGGAAGCCGGUGCAGGACGUGUAAUGAACCGCGUUUUUGAGAUGUCGGCUAAUACCGAUCGGAUUGCUUCCGUUACAAGCCUCAAGCUGAUUCCGCAGUGCGGAAUAACUAGAGUGGUACCGCGGAUGCAAUCAAACGUUCGUCUCUUAU